GGUUAAGCGACUAAGCGUACACGGUGGAUGCCCUGGCAGUCAGAGGCGAUGAAGGACGUGCUAAUCUGCGAUAAGCGUCGGUAAGGUGAUAUGAACCGUUAUAACCGGCGAUUUCCGAAUGGGGAAACCCAGUGUGUUUCGACACACUAUCAUUAACUGAAUCCAUAGGUUAAUGAGGCGAACCGGGGGAACUGAAACAUCUAAGUACCCCGAGGAAAAGAAAUCAACCGAGAUUCCCCCAGUAGCGGCGAGCGAACGGGGAGCAGCCCAGAGCCUGAAUCAGUGUGUGUGUUAGUGGAAGCGUCUGGAAAGGCGCGCGAUACAGGGUGACAGCCCCGUACACAAAAAUGCACAUGCUGUGAGCUCGAUGAGUAGGGCGGGACACGUGGUAUCCUGUCUGAAUAUGGGGGGACCAUCCUCCAAGGCUAAAUACUCCUGACUGACCGAUAGUGAACCAGUACCGUGAGGGAAAGGCGAAAAGAACCCCGGCGAGGGGAGUGAAAAAGAACCUGAAACCGUGUACGUACAAGCAGUGGGAGCACGCUUAGGCGUGUGACUGCGUACCUUUUGUAUAAUGGGUCAGCGACUUAUAUUCUGUAGCAAGGUUAACCGAAUAGGGGAGCCGAAGGGAAACCGAGUCUUAACUGGGCGUUAAGUUGCAGGGUAUAGACCCGAAACCCGGUGAUCUAGCCAUGGGCAGGUUGAAGGUUGGGUAACACUAACUGGAGGACCGAACCGACUAAUGUUGAAAAAUUAGCGGAUGACUUGUGGCUGGGGGUGAAAGGCCAAUCAAACCGGGAGAUAGCUGGUUCUCCCCGAAAGCUAUUUAGGUAGCGCCUCGUGAAUUCAUCUCCGGGGGUAGAGCACUGUUUCGGCAAGGGGGUCAUCCCGACUUACCAACCCGAUGCAAACUGCGAAUACCGGAGAAUGUUAUCACGGGAGACACACGGCGGGUGCUAACGUCCGUCGUGAAGAGGGAAACAACCCAGACCGCCAGCUAAGGUCCCAAAGUCAUGGUUAAGUGGGAAACGAUGUGGGAAGGCCCAGACAGCCAGGAUGUUGGCUUAGAAGCAGCCAUCAUUUAAAGAAAGCGUAAUAGCUCACUGGUCGAGUCGGCCUGCGCGGAAGAUGUAACGGGGCUAAACCAUGCACCGAAGCUGCGGCAGCGACGCUUAUGCGUUGUUGGGUAGGGGAGCGUUCUGUAAGCCUGUGAAGGUGUGCUGUGAGGCAUGCUGGAGGUAUCAGAAGUGCGAAUGCUGACAUAAGUAACGAUAAAGCGGGUGAAAAGCCCGCUCGCCGGAAGACCAAGGGUUCCUGUCCAACGUUAAUCGGGGCAGGGUGAGUCGACCCCUAAGGCGAGGCCGAAAGGCGUAGUCGAUGGGAAACAGGUUAAUAUUCCUGUACUUGGUGUUACUGCGAAGGGGGGACGGAGAAGGCUAUGUUGGCCGGGCGACGGUUGUCCCGGUUUAAGCGUGUAGGCUGGUUUUCCAGGCAAAUCCGGAAAAUCAAGGCUGAGGCGUGAUGACGAGGCACUACGGUGCUGAAGCAACAAAUGCCCUGCUUCCAGGAAAAGCCUCUAAGCAUCAGGUAACAUCAAAUCGUACCCCAAACCGACACAGGUGGUCAGGUAGAGAAUACCAAGGCGCUUGAGAGAACUCGGGUGAAGGAACUAGGCAAAAUGGUGCCGUAACUUCGGGAGAAGGCACGCUGAUAUGUAGGUGAAGUCCCUCGCGGAUGGAGCUGAAAUCAGUCGAAGAUACCAGCUGGCUGCAACUGUUUAUUAAAAACACAGCACUGUGCAAACACGAAAGUGGACGUAUACGGUGUGACGCCUGCCCGGUGCCGGAAGGUUAAUUGAUGGGGUCAGCGCAAGCGAAGCUCUUGAUCGAAGCCCCGGUAAACGGCGGCCGUAACUAUAACGGUCCUAAGGUAGCGAAAUUCCUUGUCGGGUAAGUUCCGACCUGCACGAAUGGCGUAAUGAUGGCCAGGCUGUCUCCACCCGAGACUCAGUGAAAUUGAACUCGCUGUGAAGAUGCAGUGUACCCGCGGCAAGACGGAAAGACCCCGUGAACCUUUACUAUAGCUUGACACUGAACAUUGAGCCUUGAUGUGUAGGAUAGGUGGGAGGCUUAGAAGUGUGGACGCCAGUCUGCAUGGAGCCGACCUUGAAAUACCACCCUUUAAUGUUUGAUGUUCUAACGUUGACCCGUAAUCCGGGUUGCGGACAGUGUCUGGUGGGUAGUUUGACUGGGGCGGUCUCCUCCUAAAGAGUAACGGAGGAGCACGAAGGUUGGCUAAUCCUGGUCGGACAUCAGGAGGUUAGUGCAAUGGCAUAAGCCAGCUUGACUGCGAGCGUGACGGCGCGAGCAGGUGCGAAAGCAGGUCAUAGUGAUCCGGUGGUUCUGAAUGGAAGGGCCAUCGCUCAACGGAUAAAAGGUACUCCGGGGAUAACAGGCUGAUACCGCCCAAGAGUUCAUAUCGACGGCGGUGUUUGGCACCUCGAUGUCGGCUCAUCACAUCCUGGGGCUGAAGUAGGUCCCAAGGGUAUGGCUGUUCGCCAUUUAAAGUGGUACGCGAGCUGGGUUUAGAACGUCGUGAGACAGUUCGGUCCCUAUCUGCCGUGGGCGCUGGAGAAUUGAGGGGGGCUGCUCCUAGUACGAGAGGACCGGAGUGGACGCAUCACUGGUGUUCGGGUUGUCAUGCCAAUGGCACUGCCCGGUAGCUAAAUGCGGAAGAGAUAAGUGCUGAAAGCAUCUAAGCACGAAACUUGCCCCGAGAUGAGUUCUCCCUGACUCCUUGAGAGUCCUGAAGGAACGUUGAAGACGACGACGUUGAUAGGCCGGGUGUGUAAGCGCAGCGAUGCGUUGAGCUAACCGGUACUAAUGAACCGUGAGGCUUAACCUU
rnacentral:rRNA from 1 species